rnacentral:rRNA from 1 species
AACACGUGAGUAACCUGCCCUCUUCUUUGGGAUAACGGUCGGAAACGGCUGCUAAUACCGGGUAUUCACUGUCCUUCGCAUGGGGGGUGGUGGAAAGGUUUUUUCUGGUGGGGGAUGGGCUCGCGGCCUAUCAGCUUGUUGGUGGGGUGAUGGCUUACCAAGGCUUUGACGGGUAACCGGCCUGAGAGGGUGACCGGUCACAUUGGGACUGAGAUACGGCCCAGACUCCUACGGGAGGCAGCAGUGGGGAAUAUUGCACAAUGGGCGAAAGCCUGAUGCAGCGACGCCGCGUGAGGGAUGGAGGCCUUCGGGUUGUAAACCUCUUUCGCUCAUGGUCAAGCCGCAACAGUGGUUGUGGUGAGGGUAGUGGGUAAAGAAGCACCGGCUAACUACGUGCCAGCAGCCGCGGUAAUACGUAGGGUGCGAGCGUUGUCCGGAAUUAUUGGGCGUAAAGGGCUUGUAGGCGGUUUGUCGCGUCUGCCGUGAAAUCCUCUGGCUUAACUGGGGGCGUGCGGUGGGUACGGGCAGGCUUGAGUGCGGUAGGGGAGACUGGAACUCCUGGUGUAGCGGUGGAAUGCGCAGAUAUC